rnacentral:misc_RNA from 1 species
CGCUAGAAGUGGGGGAUGGGGGUUCUUCAGUCUCUGGUUGUGCUGCAGCUGGUUGCCGGUUGGAAGUAGUAGAAGGUUGACGAUUUGGAGCAGUAGCAGGUUGGUGAGGCCCUGCACCUUGCUGUUGUGGCUGAGCAGGGCGAGGCCUAGGAGUUGACUGUGCAGCAAUAUACUGUAAAAUCUCAAAAACUCUCGUCUGACCAUAGCUUGCAGCCCUUUGCCAGUAUAAAAACGCCAUAUCUCCAGCUCUAGUUCUUAGUUCCAACAAGUUGCGAUCAAUUUCAUCCUCAUGCUUUGCAACAUAUGGUCUGAAGAAGGAAUCAUACACAUAGGUAGUUCCCUUAGUCUUAGGGUACCACAAGUAUAUGAAAAAUGCCAGCUUAGCUUCACUAUACAUUGGAACCCAUGAAAUAAAAGCAUCUCCAAUUCUCUCACAAACUGUCAACACAGCCACCAAAAUCCAGUACUGGC